GGAUUAGAUACCCUGGUAGUCCACGCCGUAAACGAUGAGUGCUAGAUAUCGGGAAUUAAAUUUUCGGUUUCGCAGCUAACGCAUUAAGCACUCCGCCUGGGGACUACGAUCGCAAGAUUAAAACUCAAAGGAAUUGACGGGGGCUCGCACAAGUGGUGGAGCAUGCGGUUUAAUUCGAUGCUACGCGAAAAACCUUACCAACCCUUGACAUGGUGGUCGCGAGAGACAGAGAUGACUCUCUUCAGUUCGGCUGGACCACACACAGGUGUUGCAUGGCUGUCGUCAGCUCGUGUCG
rnacentral:rRNA from 1 species